UUGACCAUAGUAAUAUAGGUUUUGACAAUGACAGAUGACAGCAAGUGAAAAAGUCAACAAGAAGAAAAAAAACAAUUAAAUAGUAUAAUAUCAACAAUGAACAACAUUUGGAAAUUAAUAUAAAUUAUAUUCGUAUAAGUGGGUUGGAAGUAUUAUAUAAUAAUUAUAACCUGGAGAAAUUCUCAUAAUUUGAGAAGGUGAGAAGCAGAGGAAGAACAUCAAGCCCAGACACAGCUUAACUCCAAUAGAAGAUUGGAUUUCAAAGCAGCCCACACUGAAGGAGAUUCCUGAACCAGAGCAAGUAUGCCAUGACCCAUGAGGCAUCGCAAUGGUGGAGGGAGGUCAUUCCAACAGUGUGUGGCCGCAAACUUGAAAGACCCUCUGAAAGCUGUAGUACGAUGCAUCGGAACAACAAGAGGACAAACAAUGGACCGAAUACCAUGCUUUAGCUGGUUAUGUUUCCAUGUUAGCUUUUUGUAGAGAUAAUUCGGUUUUUCCGUUCUAAUUGUGCCGAACAGUAAACUAGCCAAAUGUAGCCUCCACCUAGCAGCCAUUUUUAACAAGUUAAGUUCGUUAAUGAAUGGUGUUACAUGACUUCUGCGAGGAAUAUUUACACAGAAACGAGCACAAGCAUUUUGGAUCCGCUGGAUGACAUGUACAGUUUUUGAAAGAAGGCAUGGUCCAUAUACUACAUCACAAUAAUUUAACUUUGAUAGAAUAAGACUGUCUACAAGUUGUUUGCGCAAGGGAAUAGCCAGGUCCAAAAAUCCUUGUGAUAUCCUCGUCAGUGCGGAUCCUUUGUGUGGAGUCACCAGGUGUCUUCCGUGCAAGUAUGCGGCCGCGUUUAGUCCACACAAAUCUCCAAUUGAAGUGGCUAGCUGCGUCACGCGCCUUCCGAAACAACCGGCGAUU